rnacentral:rRNA from 1 species
AACGAACGCUGGCGGCAGGCCUAACACAUGCAAGUCGAACGGGAUCUUCGGAUCUAGUGGCGGACGGGUGAGUAACGCGUGGGAACGUGCCCUUUGGUUCGGAAUAGCUCAGGGAAACUUGUGGUAAUACCGUAUACGCCCGAGAGGGGAAAGAUUUAUCGCCAUUGGAUGGGCCCGCGUAGGAUUAGCUAGUUGGUGAGGUAAUGGCUCACCAAGGCGACGAUCCUUAGCUGGUCUGAGAGGACGACCAGCCACACUGGGACUGAGACACGGCCCAGACUCCUACGGGAGGCAGCAGUGGGGAAUAUUGGACAAUGGGCGCAAGCCUGAUCCAGCCAUGCCGCGUGAGUGAUGAAGGCCUUAGGGUUGUAAUGCUCUUUUAGCGGGGAAGAUAAUGACGGUACCCGCAGAAUAAGCCCCGGCUAACUUCGUGCCAGCCGCCGCGGUAAGAC